AACGAACGCUGGCGGCAGGCCUAACACAUGCAAGUCGAGCGAGACCUUCGGGUCUAGCGGCGGACGGGUGAGUAACGCGUGGGAACGUGCCUUUUGCUUCGGAAUAGCCCCGGGAAACUGGGAGUAAUACCGAAUGUGCUCUACGGAGGAAAGAUUUAUCGGCAAAAGAUCGGCCCGCGUCGGAUUAGGUAGUUGGUGGGGUAAUGGCCUACCAAGCCGACGAUCCAUAGCUGGUUUGAGAGGUUGAUCAGCCACACUGGGACUGAGACACGGCCCAGACUCCUACGGGAGGCAGCAGUGGGGAAUCUUAGACAAUGGGGGAAACCCUGAUCUAGCCAUGCCGCGUGAGCGAUGAAGGCCUUAGGGUUGUAAAGCUCUUUCACCGGGGAAGAUAAUGACGGUACCCGGAGAAGAAGCCCCGGCUAACUCCGUGCCAGCAGCCGCAGUAA
rnacentral:rRNA from 1 species